GUCCCCAGAGGACUUCCUCCAGGUUUGAUGGACACCCUCUGCGUUUGACAAGUUACAAAUUCUCCUACGUGAACCAGCAUUUGGCUCACAUCUUCCUAUAAGUUUAUUGCAAAGUUCAUAAAACAAAGUCGGACCAGAUGGUUUCAAUGCCCAGGCUCAGCCGAGGGGAACCAUCCUCAGAAGCCGAGGCGCAGGUUUGGAUGAAGCAUGGGCUCCCGUUGUUUCUGUUUUAACUGGGGCACUUGGCCACCUGCUCUGCUCACUGCUAUCUCAGUGACCCAGGCUGAGGGCUCCCUGGGGUCACUGUCCCCCCAUCAGUCAGUGACAGUCCAGGGGAAACGGCUGACAAUGCCAGCUGAGCCCAAGCGGGAGUGACGUCUGAUGCUGAAGGAACUCAGCUGGGAGCCGCACCCCAGGCCUCACCCCAUGUGUAGCUCGGGGAGACAGGCACCAUGAUAUGGGAACCACGCAUCCAGGGUCUCACCACAUGGGGGGCAACCUGGAGCGCUAGGGUGGCUAGGACCCAGGCUCUGGUUUGAGUACUUAGCUGUGUCACUCCACAAGGUCCCUUUCCUUCUCUUAGUCUCAGUCUCCUCAUCUGUUAAAUGGGGAUAAAUACUAUUGACCUUUUAGGGACUUGAAUUUCAUGAGAUAAGGUAGAGAGGGUGUAUAUAGGGGACAAGUUGCCAGCAAAUGUGUUUUAUCUGGCAUUAUAGCAUUAAAAAAAAUUAAGCCAGUUUUCAAAAGUCAAGAGGUUUCCCUUAAUAUUUUGGAUCUGGAUUUCUCUCGAAGAAUUGGAAGAUUUGGCAAUGUUAGGCCUUCUUUUCCAGCUUUUUGCACAUGGCAGCAAUAUAGGGGACCAUUAAGGACUGUCCCCCUUAGACAGGCAUCCAUUCCAAUGGCUGUGGUCUCUGCCACUCACACAGCAUGCGUCUGGGCUCAGCAGCGUGACCUGCUUACCUGACAGGCCUGGGCACUGGAGCUCAUCACCCAGGCGCAGGCGUUAGAUUGCUCAGCCCUGUGUGACCCCUCAGGGCCUCAAGUUCAAGUUCCUCUCCUAUGAGACUAGCAUGAUAAUGGGUGAUUGCAAAAGCCAUGUUUGCUGUGGCUCUAGGUUGGUGUUCAAUGGGCUUGUGCUGCCUAAUGGCCACCCACGGUGACCUCAGCUGGGAGACGGAGCUGGAGACUGAGUUGGAGACCGGUGGGAGCUAUGGGAAUUCCAAAGUGCGAGGGGGCAACAAGCACAGCCCCUGUCUCAGAGGUCACCGCUCAAUUCCAAGAGGCCCCUGGGGAACCAUGGGGGCAGAGAGGACAUUGGCACGUGGCACUCAUUACAGAUAAGAAAUGUGUGUGGUAGAGGUCAUCUGUCACAGAGAUAUGCUUCCCUGCAGUACUGUAUCCCUCGGCCUCCCCUGUCUCCUCUACUCCAGGGGUCCUCAUGGGCUAAGCCAUCAGCCAUUGCUUUCCCUCUUCUCCAUCCUUCUCCCCCGAGUACUGGGGCCCUUGUCUGUGGAUUUCCCUGUGGAUCUCAGGAGCAAGGCCUCAGGUGGCAUGCAGCUUGGAAACUGACCUUGGUACCCUUCUGUCAAAACCCUGCUGGAGUUACACAGCAGCCC
rnacentral:lncRNA from 1 species